rnacentral:misc_RNA from 1 species
AAGUCGUAACAGGGUUUCCGUAGGUGAACCUGCGGAAGGAUCAUUAAUGGGUUUACCGCCCGUCAGGAACGAACUCACCCUUUGUAACCGCGGCCCGGAUUCGGCGCCUGGCGGGGACCACCCCCCGCUCGCGGGGGGCCCCGCCUGCCGGAAUUAGCCAACCCUGCCUUGAAAAUUGAAGUCUGAGAACAAGUUAAACUAAACAAA